rnacentral:lncRNA from 1 species
AAACUGGUGACCCCUUAGGAACCACAUUAACUGAGGCCUCAUGGAGAAAGGGGACUCAGCUGGAAGGAGAGAGGACCACGUGGUCUGAGAACCCCAGUCUCCAGUGAUGAAAAUCCAACCCCACAGACAUUCCUGCCCAACACCUCAGACAAGGGAGGAGCUAAAGGUUUGUUUGGGUUUUUUUUAAGAUUUUAUUUAUUUAUUUGAUAGACAGAGAUCACAAGUAGG